UACGUAGGGGGCAAGCGUUGUCCGGAAUCAUUGGGCGUAAAGAGCGCGUAGGCGGCCCUGUAAGUCCGCUGUGAAAGUCAAGGGCUCAACCCUUGAAUGCCGGUGGAUACUGCAGGGCUAGAGUCCGGAAGAGGCGAGUGGAAUUCCUGGUGUAGCGGUGAAAAUGCGUAGAGAUCAGGAAGAACACCGGUGGCGAAGGCGCUCGUGCUAGGCCGCCAACUGACACUGAGGGACGAAAGCUAGGGGAGCGAAUGGG
rnacentral:rRNA from 1 species